rnacentral:lncRNA from 1 species
UUCUCAGCUGAACACUGUCAUCUGCCAGAGCUUCAGGCAAGAACCCAGAACAGAUGAAACCCCAGACAUGACAAAAUAAGCCAAGGAAUACCAGGCCAAGAUGUGAAAGGCCAGAUGAGAACAAGCAGCGUACACGAUUCUGUUGCCAACAGAUCUCCCCUAACAGUGUCGUGCACCAAAUUUCCACAGUGAAUGUCAGGAAAAAAUGGCAAUUGAGAUGAAGAAACUGAGGCAGACAGAGGUGAAGAAACUUGCACAAGGUCAAAGCACAAACUAUACAUAUUUUAAUAUGAUGAGUCUCCUGGUAUCUUUUAAAACGAUGUUGUUCAUACAUUAUAAUAAAUCCA